GAUGAACGCUGGCGGCGUGCCUAAUACAUGCAAGUCGAGCGAACAGACGAGGAGCUUGCUCCUCUGACGUUAGCGGCGGACGGGUGAGUAACACGUGGAUAACCUACCUAUAAGACUGGGAUAACUUCGGGAAACCGGAGCUAAUACCGUAUAAUAUAUUGAACCGCAUGGUUCAAUAGUGAAAGACGGUUUUGCUGUCACUUAUAGAUGGAUCCGCGCCGCAUUAGCUAGUUGGUAAGGUAACGGCUUACCAAGGCAACGAUGCGUAGCCGACCUGAGAGAGUGGUCGGCCACACUGGAACUGAGACACGGUCCAGACUCCUACGGGAGGCAGCAGUAGGGAAUCUUCCGCAAUGGGCGAGAGCUUGACGGAGCAACGCCGAGUGAGUGAUGAAGGUCUUCGGAUCGUAAAAAUCUGUUAUUAGGGGAAAACAGAUGUGUAAGUAACUAUGCACGUAUUGACGGUACCUAAUCAGAAAGCCACGGCUAACUACGUG
rnacentral:rRNA from 1 species